GAGGUAUUAGUAUAAUAAU
rnacentral:tRNA from 1 species